rnacentral:rRNA from 1 species
CACGUAGGGCGCAAGCGUUGUCCGGAAUUAUUGGGCGUAAAGAGCUCGUAGGCGGUCUGUUGCGUCUGCUGUGAAAACCCGGGGCUUAACCCCUGGCUUGCAGUGGAUACGGACAGACUAGAGGUAGGUAGGGGAGAAUGGAAUUCCCGGUGUAGCGGUGAAAUGCGCAGAUAUCGGGAGGAACGCCGGUGGCGAAAGCGGCGCGCUGGACCUCUCCUGACGCUGAGGCGCGAAAGCCAGGGGAGCAAACGGG